GAUGCCCUGGCAGUCAGAGGCGAUGAAGGACGUGCUAAUCUGCGAUAAGCGCCGGUAAGGUGAUAUGAACCGUUAUAACCGGCGAUUUCCGAAUGGGGAAACCCAGUGUGAUUCGUCACACUAUCAUUAACUGAAUCCAUAGGUUAAUGAGGCGAACCGGGGGAACUGAAACAUCUAAGUACCCCGAGGAAAAGAAAUCAACCGAGAUUCCCCCAGUAGCGGCGAGCGAACGGGGAGGAGCCCAGAGCCUGAAUCAGCAUGUGUGUUAGUGGAAGCGUCUGGAAAGGCGCGCGAUACAGGGUGACAGCCCCGUACACAAAAGCGCAUGUGCUGUGAGCUCGAUGAGUAGGGCGGGACACGUGGUAUCCUGUCUGAAUAUGGGGGGACCAUCCUCCAAGGCUAAAUACUCCUGACUGACCGAUAGUGAACCAGUACCGUGAGGGAAAGGCGAAAAGAACCCCGGCGAGGGGAGUGAAAAAGAACCUGAAACCGUGUACGUACAAGCAGUGGGAGCACAGGUUUACCUGUGUGACUGCGUACCUUUUGUAUAAUGGGUCAGCGACUUAUAUUCUGUAGCAAGGUUAACCGAAUAGGGGAGCCGGAGGGAAACCGAGUCUUAAUUGGGCGUUAAGUUGCAGGGUAUAGACCCGAAACCCGGUGAUCUAGCCAUGGGCAGGUUGAAGGUUGGGUAACACUAACUGGAGGACCGAACCGACUAAUGUUGAAAAAUUAGCGGAUGACCUGUGGCUGGGGGUGAAAGGCCAAUCAAACCGGGAGAUAGCUGGUUCUCCCCGAAAGCUAUUUAGGUAGCGCCUCGUGAAUUCAUCUCCGGGGGUAGAGCACUGUUUCGGCUAGGGGGCCAUCCCGGCUUACCAACCCGAUGCAAACUGCGAAUACCGGAGAAUGUUAUCACGGGAGACACACGGCGGGUGCUAACGUCCGUCGUGAAGAGGGAAACAACCCAGACCGCCAGCUAAGGUCCCAAAGUCAUGGUUAAGUGGGAAACGAUGUGGGAAGGCCCAGACAGCCAGGAUGUUGGCUUAGAAGCAGCCAUCAUUUAAAGAAAGCGUAAUAGCUCACUGGUCGAGUCGGCCUGCGCGGAAGAUGUAACGGGGCUAAACCAUGCACCGAAGCUGCGGCAGCGAACGUAUCACUUAAAGCGAUUCAGCGGGUUACGAUUGACGGAGCGAAGCGACGUCAAAGCGUAUACAAAGUCGAGUCGGUUUAAGGAUACGUUCGUUGGGUAGGGGAGCGUUCUGUAAGCCUGUGAAGGUGGCCUGUGAGGGUUGCUGGAGGUAUCAGAAGUGCGAAUGCUGACAUAAGUAACGAUAAAGCGGGUGAAAAGCCCGCUCGCCGGAAGACCAAGGGUUCCUGUCCAACGUUAAUCGGGGCAGGGUGAGUCGACCCCUAAGGCGAGGCCGAAAGGCGUAGUCGAUGGGAAACGGGUUAAUAUUCCC
rnacentral:rRNA from 1 species